GACGAACGCUGGCGGCGUGCUUAACACAUGCAUGUCGAACGGAAAGGCCCUGCUUUUGUGGGGUGCUCGAGUGGCGAACGGGUGAGUAACACGUGAGUAACCUGCCCUUGACUUUGGGAUAACUUCAGGAAACUGGGGCUAAUACCGGAUAGGAGCUCCUGCUGCAUGGUGGGGGUUGGAAAGUUUCGGCGGUUGGGGAUGGACUCGCGGCUUAUCAGCUUGUUGGUGGGGUAGUGGCUUACCAAGGCUUUGACGGGUAGCCGGCCUGAGAGGGUGACCGGCCACAUUGGGACUGAGAUACGGCCCAGACUCCUACGGGAGGCAGCAGUGGGGAAUAUUGCACAAUGGGCGGAAGCCUGAUGCAGCAACGCCGCGUGCGGGAUGACGGCCUUCGGGUUGUAAACCGCUUUCGCCUGUGACGAAGCGUGAGUGACGGUAAUGGGUAAAGAAGCACCGGCUAACUACGUGCCAGCAGCCGCGGUGAUACGUAGGGUGCGAGCGUUGUCCGGAUUUAUUGGGCGUAAGGGCUCGUAGGUGGUUGAUCGCGUCGGAAGUGUAAUCUUGGGGCUUAACCCUGAGCGUGCUUUCGAUACGGGUUGACUUGAGGAAGGUAGGGGAGAAUGGAAUUCCUGGUGGAGCGGUGGAAUGCGCAGAUAUCAGGAGGAACACCAGUGGCGAAGGCGGUUCUCUGGGCCUUUCCUGACGCUGAGGAGCGAAAGCGUGGGGAGCGAACAGGCUUAGAUACCCUGGUAGUCCACGCUGUAAACGGUGGGUACUAGGUGUGGGGUCCAUUCCACGGGUUCCGUGCCGUAGCUAACGCUUUAAGUACCCCGCCUGGGGAGUACGGCCGCAAGGCUGAAACUCAAAGGAAUUGACGGGGCCCCGCACAAGCGGCGGAGCAUGCGGAUUAAUUCGAUGCAACGCGUAGAACCUUACCUGGGUUUGACAUGGAUCGGGAGUGCUCAGAGAUGGGUGUGCCUCUUUUGGGGUCGGUUCACAGGUGGUGCAUGCCUGUCGUCAGCUCGUGUCGUGAGAUGUUGGGUUAAGUCCCGCAACGAGCGCAACCCUUGUUCACUGUUGCCAGCACGUUAUGGUGGGGACUCAGUGGAGACCGCCGGGGUCAACUCGGAGGAAGGUGGGGAUGACGUCAAGUCAUCAUGCCCCUUAUGUCCAGGGCUUCACGCAUGCUACAAUGGCUGGUACAGAGAGUGGCGAGCCUGUGAGGGUGAGCGAAUCUCGGAAAGCCGGUCUCAGUUCGGAUUGGGGUCUGCAACUCGACCUCAUGAAGUCGGAGUCGCUAGUAAUCGCAGAUCAGCAACGCUGCGGUGAAUACGUUCCCGGGGCU
rnacentral:rRNA from 1 species